ACCAGAGUUGUGUAGUGGUUUGAGUGUUGGACUAUGACUCUGGAGACCAGGGUUCGAAUCCCUGAUUGGCCA